UGGUAAACUCGCCAACAGUAAUUUUAUGUAGGAGAUCUAAAGUUUCUGUGACUACUAAUGAGUAAAGAAUACUUGAAGACAAACAGUUGUUAGUUUUAAUAUAAUAUUAGACAUGAGUGUGACAGUGUUGAUGGUUGUCAGAGCAAGGAACUUGACUCAUCAGCUUCCUCUUAUGAAUAUAGCAGAGCCAGUUUUUACAAUAGAAAAUCAUUCAUUUAAACUUUGUAAAGUAGUUGGGUAUUAGGUCUUACUGCUAGGUGAAAUCAUAUAAAUAGCUGGAAGAUUUGAAGAAAAACAACACUUUCUGUUUUCUCUGUUGUUAGUCUAUCUUUUUGCAUGUGCCUUUAACUACUUUUGGACAGAGGGCAGCAGAUCAGACACUGUAGGAGCACAUUACUAGUUCUCAGAGAAAGACGGUGAGCACAAUGACUGUGAUUUUACAGAUUUUAUAUGUUACAUAAAAAUAAAUAUAAGGAUCUUUUCUGUUUUCUUGUAAAAUAAUCUGUUUGAUUUUAUAGAUCUUUUUGGAGGGAACUAAGCUACAGUUAGGAAUAUGGGAAACCAGGCUACAGAUGCAAUCGCAUGGAACACAAUCCAGUGUUUUUCCCUUUAAAACCCAUUUAUUUAUAUAGCUGUUACAAUGAGAUGACCAAAAUGGCAAAAGAACAAUCAAAAUUUUUUUGCAAAUGACAGUAGUGAAAUAAAGCAACAGUUUCUUAGCAACAAACUGGAAAAUACACUAAAUAAUAUAUUUUACCUGCUGAGGUUUUUGUGUGCUACAUUCCAAGCAUUGUUCUGAAGUAGAUUCAUAUUUUUGAUCAUGUUUCUUUUAUAUUAUUCUUGUUACAGGUUUGCCUUGACACGGAGAUUUCCUGAAGAACCACUGUUCAUGGCUACAUUUUUACUUGGAGUACAAAUAGAAUAAAAACAACCUUGUUUUGUAAGGCUAAGGGAUUGGAUUUAACAUCAAAAUUGCAUUUUUAAGAGUCUGGUGGACUGUAAAAACCAAUUCCAGUCAGAGGUCGCUCAUUUGGAAAUGGUAUGGGUGCCACUUUCCCAGGUGCUCUGCAGUUGUCUUCCUCAAGGAAGGAUUAUUUGAAAUCAGCCUGGUACUAUCUAUCCAAGGUCACAUAGCCCCUGCGUUAAAAUGAAGGCUCCAACUCACUCUGGAUUUCACUAAAGCAGCAUGAAAUAGCUCUUGAUUCUAAUACAAUAGCUAUGACAAGGUUGGAGUGAAGCUGAGAGUAGAGUUUCAUUUGAGAGAAGAGAGGAGAGGAAAAGGGAGGAGCUGAAAGCAGCAGCAGUGGAAGGGAAGUCAUACGUGACUUUAAUCACAGAUGAGAAUGAGAGACCACUUGUCUGCACGUUUACUGUCAGAGGGGAUUCAUUUUUAUGUAUGUGGGUUUGGAACAAAAUACGAAAGCUUUAUUCUUUAUGUCAAAUGUAUGGGUCACAAUGAGAUAUGUUUAUAUUUAAUUCCUUCUGUGUUCUUUAUUCUAGUAUUUAGUGAAAAAAAUAAUAUUUUUUUGUUAUUCUGCUUUUCACAUUUCCAGGAUAUUUGUAGAUAUCUUUGACAUAUCUACAGAUUUUAAGGAAUCAUGUCUGCUCAGUGUUUCCUGGACUGAGUGAGAAGGACAGUUUUUAAAGGCAGCAAGGAAGAGAUAAAUGUUUACACAUUUAUAAAAAACUCUCUUCCUUAGUGGCUUACAAAGUUUAUGUAAAAUAUAACAUGAGAAAUCAGCCUAAUUGCAUAUUUAAAAUCUGUAUUCUUCAGUCUUUAAAAUGGAAUUCUGGAAUUCCUUGUUUGAAAACUGCAUUGAGUUCCUAGUUCAAGGCAUUCAAAAGAAAAUACCUUUGAUCUCAGAAGAUCUCUGAUUCAUGAGAAUUACUUGCAGGGUGAAAUAACCACAGAUUGGUUAUUGGUAUUGAUCUGUGCAAGAACUUGCAAAAGGAUUUUCCUCACUAACUGUGUUUGGAAUUUCAGUAUGUUUUCCUAAUACUUUUGACUGGCAGAAGCCUCCAUGUCAGGAUUCUAUAUUUGAGGAGGGAACAUUGUCUAAAACUCCUUUUUUGAUUUCCUCUCAUAGGGCUAGUUCCUUACCUACUCCAGGAGGACUUAGGUUCAGUUACAGCUAUUUAUUGUAUUUCUUGUCUAAUUCUCCUUGGUUAAACAAUGUUCAAAAAAGUGUUUCUCAUUUUAAUUCAUCAUCAUGCCUUGAAAAUGCCAAAUGGUUUUAUUUUCUAUUACAUAACACUUUAAUUAUUUAUGUGUAUAUUGGAUUAGAUUUUCCUGCUAAUAGUUCUGUUGUACAUUUGAAAUUAAUGGAGAUCCUCUAAUUUUUUAAUGUUUUACUAGUUUAUCUGAGCACAGGAUUUGGCCUAACUGGUAGACAGAGGGGACAUAGGGGACAAUGGUUAUUUUUUGCUAGAUAAAAGCUGAGGUAUAGAAUAAAAAUUGAUAAAAUUCUGGGCAAUAUACUAUAUAGUAUCAUAUAAUCUUUAUGAUUUCUGGAAUUACUGCUAAUCUUUUAUCAACAAAACUUACUUGGUCACGUGGGCAUUUCACAAGAAAAAGACAUUGUAUCCCCUCAAAUAAGCCUUGUCAAAUAUUUACAGGUUUUUUAAUUCCUGGUCUGAGUGUGACUGAUGUGUUCAUAUAAACACUGCAAAGGCCGGUCUAGAGGUCUGGUGAAUUACUUACGACAGUAAAUGCCAAGUCUAGCUCUGUAUGAUGAUUCUUGUCCUGUAUGCAUUUUGCAUCCCCAAAAGAAGCUUUCUUACUAAUUUUUUAAAGAUUAUCCAUGCUUAUUUGUCUAUGAAUCAGAGGUAAUUAGCAUACUUUUAUUUUGAGAAAAGUACUCUCUCUUCAACCCCCAAGGCAAUCCUUUGUGAGCCAAAAUGGUAAAGGCAUCCAAGGCCUAAUUGCAUAUAUCAGGAAAAUUAUCAGUAUGGGAAUCUGUGCUGCUGCUGUGAGUGUGAGUGGUGUGUAAACCUGCAUUUAGAAUGCAAAAGGUGAAGAAUAAGAAUUUAUGAAGAGUGUAAGUGAUGUCUUCGUCAGAGUUUCACAGUUUACUGCCAAAGAAGUAAUUUAUUUUUUUUCUUUUAAACAUUAAUGUAAAAGCGUUCAUGGGGGGAGGAACCUGUUUUGGACUUUUCAUUAAAAACAUCACUUGUUUUCCGUU